rnacentral:tRNA from 2 species
GCCUCUUUAGCUCAGUGGGAGAGCGCGCCACUCGUAAUGGUGAGGUCACUAGUUCAAUCCUGGUAGGAGGCA